UACGUAGGGGCAGCAGUGUUCGGUUCGAUUUGAGGCGUAAAGAGCGUGUAGGCGGUUUGGUAGGUCCGCUGUGAAAACUCGAGGCUCAACCUCGAGACGCCGGUGGAAACCAUCAGGCUAGAGUCCGGAAGAGGAGAGUGGAAUUCCCGGUGUAGCGGUGAAAUGCGCAGAUAUCGGGAAGAACACCCGUGGCGAAGGCGGCUCUCUGGGACGGUACUGACGCUGAGACGCGAAAGCGUGGGAGCGAACAGG
rnacentral:rRNA from 1 species